CACGACUAAGCACAGCACAGCAAUUAAGGAAGGGCCAAGAAUGCCCUACUUUUCUGGAAUUCUGUGUUUCAGGGGUUACCUUGAUGUCCUUAUGCUUGCACAUGCAUUUUAGCAAUCAGAGGCACCAGGGAUGCAAUAUUACAUUAAACUGUGCCCUCGGCACUUCCGCUUGGCCUUCCUUUCUUGAUCACCUCAUCACAGCCUUGACCUUUCAGCUCAAUUUUUAACUUUCUUGACAUGAAAUACCGUCAGUAAGUCUAAUGGAAAAUUCCACCACAGCAGGCAGAGCCAUAUCCCGCGUGGGAUGGGUAGCUAUUAAUUGAGGCUGGCACGUGCCCUGUGAGCACCUUUCUUCAAUACCACUGACGACAGAUCAAGGCUGGCACCGCAUGCAGACCCGAGGGAGCUGCUGUUCCAGGCGUUCUCACUCACCUUCGGGAACAAGCUGACCUCUUUCUCAAGGUCUGCAUUGGGUGUCGUCCAAGUGAAUCACUGCUUUCUCCUUCAUGUUUGUUUUUUACAGGGUGUUACCUCUUAGCGGUCUGAGCGUCAGGCUGGCUGUUGAAUGCAGAGGUGAUGGACUCCUGUCCCAGCUCCCUUGUACAGAUUCUGGGGGUGACCCAGGUACUCCAGAGUGUGCUGAGUAUUCUUGGAGAGGCAGAACACCAAGCCCACCUAUUCCAAGGUCUGGUGACGGCCACCGGGGCGGAAACCAGACCGAGACACCCCCUCCCCUGUGGGGUUAGUACCUGCUUCCGGCCUCCCAAGACUUCCCUGGUGGCUCAGACGGUAAAGCGUCUGCCUACAACGCGGGAGACCUGGGUUCGAUCCCUGGGUGGGGUAGAUCCUCUGGGGAAGGAAAUGGCAACCCACUCUAGUACUCUUGCCUGGAAAAAUCCCAUGGAUGGAGGAGCCUGGUAGGCUACAGUCCAUAGGGUCGCAGAGUUGGACACGACUGAGCUACUUCACUUCACUUGACUUCCGGCCUCCCAGCGCUCAACUUCCUGGGAGGCCCCCCACCUGCUUCUGCGCUCUGCCUUCCGUUUCCUUUCUAAGGCGAUCCUGGUUUUAAGCAGUUUCCUGUGUGAGAAGGUCGGCUGGGGCACGCGACCCCGUGUGAUUAUGUAGGGCCAGGUGGAGGGCAGGUGGGUUCCGGAGGACACGGUCCCUGCCCCGCUGCUGUCAUGAUCUGAGAAGUGGCCACCGAGCAAAAACGGAAUUGAGCAAAACGCCCGGAAAUUUGGUUCCUCAGAUAGGGACUGAAUUUGUAAACGUAUGGGAGACGCUGCCAAGGGCAGUGACUCCAGAAUGGGGCCAGGAAACCUUUCCUCAUGGAGACUGAACAGUUGAUCCAGUUAUCUUUUCAGUGGGGACUUUUUUCGGCGGUUGGGUAGGGGGGGCUUGGGUCCUUGGUCAUAUUGUAGCUUUAAUAAAGACGGUGCCUGG
rnacentral:lncRNA from 1 species